ensembl:lncRNA
AGCAGAGGGGCUGAACACGGCCACCCUCCCUCUUCUCCAGCUGUAGAUGUCACCUUAAAAAGAAGAUUUGAGGAGCCUAUGUAAUGAAUAUGGGUUGCUGUCUUCAAGGCCACUGCUGAGCCAGGGUAAUUCAAAUACCAUGAAGCUCUAUUAUCAAGAUUCUGGGUGCUGACUGUUGAGAUGCAAUACAUACUUCAAAACAGCAGGCAUUCUACGGAGCUGGGGCCCAUCAGAUAGACUACAUGGGAAACAAGCAGUGGAAACA